rnacentral:rRNA from 1 species
CCUACGGGAGGCAGCAGUGGGGAAUUUUGGACAAUGGGCGCAAGCCUGAUCCAGCCAUGCCGCGUGAGUGAAGAAGGCCUUCGGGUUGUAAAGCUCUUUCAGUUGGGAAGAAACGAUUGCAACUAAUAAUUGUAAUUAAUGACGGUACCGACAGAAGAAGCACCGGCUAACUACGUGCCAGCAGCCGCGGUAAUACACGUAGGGUGCGAGCGUUAAU